rnacentral:rRNA from 1 species
UACGUAGGGACCAAGCGUUGUUCGGAUUUACUGGGCGUAAAGGGCGCGUAGGCGGCGUGUUAAGUCAGCUGUGAAAUCUCCAAGCUUAACUUGGAACGGUCAGCUGAUACUGAUGUGCUAGAGUGCAGAAGGGGCAAUCGGAAUUCUUGGUGUAGCGGUGAAAUGCGUAGAUAUCAAGAGGAACACCUGAGGUGAAGACGGGUUGCUGGGCUGACACUGACGCUGAGGCGCGAAAGCUGGGGGAGCAAACCGG